rnacentral:rRNA from 1 species
GUGCCAGCCGCCGCGGUAAUACGUAGGGUGCGAGCGUUGCCCGGAAUUAUUGGGCGUAAAGAGCUCGUAGGCGGCCUGUUGCGUCCGCUGUGAAAUCCCAGGGCUCAACCCUGGGCGUGCAGUGGAUACGGGCCGGCUGGAGGCAGGCAGGGGAGAAUGGAAUUCCCGGUGUAGCGGUGAAAUGCGCAGAUAUCGGGAGGAACACCGGUGGCGAAGGCGGUUCUCUGGGCCGAUACUGACGCUGAGGAGCGAAAGCGUGGGGAGCGAACAGGAUUAGAAACCCCGGUAGUCC